UACGUAGGGUGCGAGCGUUGUCCGGAAUUAUUGGGCGUAAAGAGCUUGUAGGCGGUUUGUCGCGUCUGUUGUGAAAUCCCCGAGCUCAACUUGGGAAUUGCAAUGGAUACUGGCAGGCUGGAGUAUGGUAGAGGAAGGUGGAAUUCCCGGUGUAGCAGUGAAAUGCGUAGAGAUCGGGAGGAACACCAGUGGCGAAGGCGGCCUUCUGGACCAGCACUGACACUCAAGCACGAAAGCGUGGGGAGCAAACAGG
rnacentral:rRNA from 1 species